rnacentral:misc_RNA from 1 species
UACGUAGACCUCAAGCGUUAUCCGGAUUUAUUGGGCGUAAAGAGCAUGUAGGAGGUUAUGCGCGUUUCUCGUUAAAGCCCACCGCCUAACGGUGGAAAUGCGGGGAAUACGGCAUGACUUGAGGAGGUUAGAGGUGUGUGGAACUCACGGUGUAGGGGUGAUAUCCGUUGAUAUCGUGGGGAACACCAAAGGCGAAGGCAGCACACUGGGACCUUCCUGACUCUGAGAUGCGAAAGCGUGGGGAGCAAAAAGG